AUGGGAACGAGGAUGGGGUGGGGCCUGGCAGUACGCAUGCGCGCGGAUGAGGCGCGAGCGGUGAGUGCGGUGCGGGCGGGCGCAGUGAGGCAGGGGCCGUUGCCGCCUCCGCCCCCCGGCCUUUCCCUGCCCCCAGCGCGGCCGGCACGGGGGUCGCGGGUCGCGGAUGGCGAGCUCGUGAUGUGGCCGUGCCCGGAGCCGACGUCUGCGGGUCCGUCCGGCUGGUGGAGUCUUCUAACUGAAGAGAUCGUCACCUAA
rnacentral:lncRNA from 1 species